AACGCGUAGAUAAUCUACCCUUGUGUAUGGGACAACAUCGGGAAACUGGUGCUAAUACCGUAUACGUUUCUGUUAUUGCGAGGUAAAGGAAAGAAAGAUGGGGACCCUUCGGGGCCUAUCGCACGAGGAUGAGUCUGCGUACCAUUAGCUAGUAGGUGGGGUAACGGCCCACCUAGGCGACGAUGGUUAGCGGGUCUGAGAGAAUGAUCCGUCACACUGGCACUGGAACACGGGCCAG
rnacentral:rRNA from 1 species